GAAUUGCAUUUCUCUGGUGAUUAGUGCAGUUCAGCACCUUUUCAGAUUCCUGUUGGCCAUUUGUGGAGUCUCACUCUGUAGCCCAAGCUGGAGUGGCGUGAUCUCGACUCACUGCAACCUCCGCCUCCUGGGAUCAAGUGAUUCUCGUGCCUCAGCCUCCUGAGUAGCCGGGACUACAGUUGUCCCUUGGUGUGGGAUUGCUUCCAGUACCUCUGUGUGUAACAAAAGCUGCACCAUUCAAGUCCCACAGUUGCCCUGCGAAACCUCUGUAUAUGAAAAGUUGGCCCUCCAUGUACAUGGGUUUCCCAUCCUGUCACAGAAUUUUCCACACUCCUUGACAGAGGUGCUUAACCCUUAUCCAUCAGCAUUCUCAGACAGCACCUCCGGUUAGGGACAGUAUCUGACCGUCCGACAUCCCUGCAGCCCCCAUGUGUCACACAGACUCAGCCUCAGCAGGGCCACACAUAACAAAUAGAAGCAGAGCAAGCCCUGGAACUCCUGCCUGACAGUGACACGACGACAGAAACAUCUUACCAGUCAGAGGACCAUGAGAAAUAGAUUCAAGGAGCAUUCCACGUGCAAGUGAGUCUUGGCCCCAUCUGCCUUUGGAUUUUAGCCGUGAACUGGAAGGUAUUGGAAAGAAGACCCUCAGAAAUAGCUUAAUCAAAAUCCCUGCGUCUGAACCAAGUGCCUUAUUUCUCUGUGGGCCUCAAGCUUCGCUGACAUCUGUGGAGCACACUGUCCUAACAGGAGUGCUGUCUGAUUUCCCAACGCUCUGCAAAACAAACAGCCUGGAAGGGUGGCUGGUGGAAGGUGGUUUUUAGAGAGAGACUUGUAGAUAACAGGAAAGUGAAGGCUGUAAGGAAGGUUGUAAUUAAACAGCACAUGGAAACACAAUCACAUUAUUGUCCCAUUCCAUAGGGAUAAUGAUGACCACUUCAGUGGGAAAAGGAGAGGUUUUAAGUCAUUAGGGACUAUGGGCCACCUUUUAGGAAGAUUUAUUUUCAAAGGUUAAAAUAGUGUUUUGGCAAUUCAAGUUUCAUUUUCAGAAAAUGUAAUUGAUGGGAACCUCAGUGACUCUGGAUGAAUAAGAUGCUGUUGAGUGGCUCUGACUUGGGCCAGCCGUGCUUCUCACAGGACCUUGGAGACCAAGGUCACUGUGAUCUCAGGUUCAGGGGGCAAGUCCUCUCCACACAGCCCUAGUUGGCCUCACAGCUGAAAAUGUCUCCCUUACUGUUGGACUCCUUUGUUCACCCACAUGAGUUUGUGAAUAAAUCCUUUCCAGUCUGAAA
rnacentral:lncRNA from 1 species